rnacentral:rRNA from 1 species
AUUGAACGCUGGCGGCAGGCCUAACACAUGCCAGUCGAGCGGAUGAAGGGAGCUUGCUCCUGGAUUCAGCGGCGGACGGGUGAGUAAUGCCUAGGAAUCUGCCUGGUAGUGGGGGAUAACGUCCGGAAACGGGCGCUAAUACCGCAUACGUCCUGAGGGAGAAAGUGGGGGAUCUUCGGACCUCACGCUAUCAGAUGAGCCUAGGUCGGAUUAGCUAGUUGGUGGGGUAAAGGCCUACCAAGGCGACGAUCCGUAACUGGUCUGAGAGGAUGAUCAGUCACACUGGAACUGAGACACGGUCCAGACUCCUACGGGAGGCAGCAGUGGGGAAUAUUGGACAAUGGGCGAAAGUCUGAUCCAGCCAUGCCGCGUGUGUGAAGAAGGUCUUCGGAUUGUAAAGCACUUUAAGUUGGGAGGGAGGGCAGUAAGUUAAUACCUUGCUGUUUUGACGUUACCAACAGAAUAAGCACCGGCUAACUUCGUG